UACGAAGGGUGCAAGCGUUGCUCGGAAUUAUUGGGCGUAAAGGGUUGGUAGGUGGUCUUGUUUGUCUAAGGUGAAAUCCCAUGGCUUAACUGUGGAAGUGCCUUAGAAACGGCAAGACUAGAGUCCUAGAGGGGUUUGUGGAAUUCCCGGUGUAGCGGUGAAAUGCGUAGAGAUCGGGAGGAACACCAGCGGCGAAGGCGGCAAACUGGAUAGGCACUGACACUCAACAACGAAAGCGUGGGGAGCAAACAGGAUUAGAUACCCUGGUAGUCCACGCUGUAAACGAUGGGUACUAGGCUUUGUGGGAAUAGACCCCUGCAGAGCCGGAGCUAACGCAAUAAGUACCCCGCCUGGGAAGUACGGUCGCAAGACUAAA
rnacentral:rRNA from 1 species